rnacentral:rRNA from 1 species
AACGAACGCUGGCGGCAUGCCUAACACAUGCUAGUCGCACGAGACCUUCGGGUCUAGUGGCGAACGGGUGAGUCACGCGUGGGAAUCUGCCCUUAGGUUCGGAACAACUCUCCGACAGGGGUGCUAAUACCGGCCAAUGUCUUCGGACCAAAGAUUUAUCGCCUUUGAAUGGGCCCGCGUUGGAUUAGCUAGUUGGUAGGGUAAAAGCCUACCAAUGCGACGAUCCAUAGAUGGUCUGAGAGGAUGAUCGGCCACACUGGGUCUGAGACACGGCCCAGACUCCUACGGGAGACAGCAGUGGGGAAUAUUGUACAAUGGGCAAGAGCCUAAUCCAGCAAUGCCGCGUGAGGGUUGAAGGCCUGAGGGUUGUAAUGCUCUUUUACCCGGGAUGAUAAUGACAGUACCUGGAGAAUAAGCUCCGGCUAACUCCGUG